rnacentral:lncRNA from 1 species
AUUUGAAUUAUAGUAUAUAAAUUGAAAUUUGGUAUGCUUAAAUGUAAUAAACACAAACCUUAAACCUGGGAGGUAAUAAAGUUUGUUAUAUGGUAUAUAUAUAGAUAUAUAAAAAUCCCAUUAAUUACUAGUGGGCUCGAUCUUUUCCAAUUCCCCAUGGACCCGAUCAAAUAUCCAAAGCAAACACUGGAAUGGACAUAGUCAUUCAUGAAGCUAGCAACUAGACAAAUAUGAAAACAAACACUUAGACAAAUAAGCCUUGAAAGGAAGAAUCGUGGGAAAUUAAAAUCACAAAAUGAGAUGAGCUAAAAGCUACCAAAGAGUCACUCAAGGAUAUCCAACUGCCAAAGUCCCUCCGUUAAUUCUGCCAAAGUCUCUGAAUCUCAAGUCGCUUCUGAAAACUUAAACAGUGGAGUUUGCAGGCUGCAAGGAAUGAAUCUAAAGAGAGCUUGCAUUGAAACGUUGAUUAACUUUUCCUUGUCGAAGGAAUUAAUCAAAACUAACGGAGCAUCUUGAUAUAAUUCCAUUCAGCACUAGGUGAGCCAUAUUCAAAUCUAUACUAGUUAACUACCCCCAAACUCCCAUCGUGCUAAAAUCACAUCAAGAUAGAAUAAGAAGGAAUUAGAAAUGGACCUCAAUAAGAGCCUUUUAUUGAUGGAAUCCGCAGUUACAGCAACUUAAUCGAACAAGAUUUCAGUCUAAAAUCUGAACGAGAAGAUGGCAGCAAACUGGACUCGGAUCCAUAAUACGAUGAAACGACAAAAGCUAAAACAAACUCCAUGAGUACAAAUCGACAGGUAGAAAGUAAUUUAAAAUAUUUUUUUAUUUUUCAGAUUUG